UACGUAGGUGGCAAGCGUUGUCCGGAUUGACUGGGCGUAAAGCGUCCGCAGGUGGCAUGCCAAGUGGGGUGUGAAAGCCGGUGGCUUAACCGCCGGAGGCCAUCCCAAACUGGCGCGCUGGAGCCGGGGCAGAGGGUGACGGAAUUGCCGGUGUAGUGGUGAAAUGCGUAGAUAUCGGGAGGAACACCCCAGGGGGGAAAACCAGCCGACUGGGCAUUUUGCUGACGCUGAGGUGCGAGAGCGUGGGGGAGCGAACCGG
rnacentral:rRNA from 1 species